UACGUAGGGGGCAAGCGUUGUCCGGAUUUAUUGGGCGUAAAGAGCGUGUAGGCGGUUUGGUAGGUCCGCUGUGAAAACUCGAGGCUCAACCUCGAGACGCCGGUGGAAACCAUCAGACUAGAGUCCGGAAGAGGAGAGUGGAAUUCCUGGUGUAGCGGUGAAAUGCGCAGAUAUCAGGAAGAACACCCGUGGCUAAGGCGGCUCUCUAGUACGGUACUGACGCUGAGACGCGAAAGCCAGGGGAGCAAACGGG
rnacentral:rRNA from 1 species